rnacentral:misc_RNA from 1 species
CACGGCUGAUGCAAACAUGGACAGAGACGGUAUUUUAUCUUACUUCAAUUCACUUGUCAAAGAGGAUCCAAGUCUAUCAGUAGCUGUUGCAGCCAUUAAGACCUUACUGCAUUUUCUAGAGAAUAAUAAGAUUGAAACAUUGGCUGAAUUGCGAGACAGACUCAAGGAGGCAAUUCAGAUUCUUACGGAAACAGACAGCAGUACUACUUCUAUCUCCUCCGCUGGAGAGCUUUUCCUUCGCUUCAUCACCCUCACAAGUUUAGAACACCCUGAUAUUCAGGACUGUCAGCGGAUAUUGGUAGAAAGAGGAAAUGUCUUCUUAAACAAGAUCAAGAACUCUCGUCAGAAAAUUGGCAAACAAGCUCAACAGUUCAUUAGAGAUGGCACAACAAUAUUGACUCACUCAAAGUCCAGAGUUGUCCUUCAAGUUUUGAAAGAGGCUCAGCAAUCCAACAAACGGUUCCAUGUGUAUGUGACAGAAUCUCUACCAAACAAGUCAGGUUUGGAAACAUAUAAUGAACUUCAAGACAUGGAGAUCCCGGCAACAUUGAUACUAGAUGCUGCAGUUGGAUAUGUAAUGGAGAAAGUGGACAUGGUGCUGGUGGGAGCAGAAGGUGUUGUAGAGAGUGGAGGAAUCAUUAACAAGGUGAUUUAUAUAAAUCUAUAGGUUAUACGCCGUGUAGGGGAAUCAUUAACAAGGUGAUUCAUAUAAACCUAUAGGUUAUACGCCGUGUGGAGAAAUCAUUAACAAGGUAAUUAACAUAAUCUAUAGGUUAUACCUCGUGAGGGGGAAUCAUUAACAGGGUGAUUCAUAUAAACCUAUAGGUUUUACCUCGUGAGGGGGAAUCAUUAACAGGGUGAUUCAUAUAAACCUAUAGGUUUUACCUCGUGAGGGGGAAUCAUUAACAGGGUGAUUCAUAUAAACCUAUAGGUUAUACGUCGUGUGCAGUUACAGUAUGAAUUACACUUGCUAUUGAAUUUGAAUGUGUCAAUAAAAAAGCACCAGCACAUUGGUAUACAGUGUAUUAACCCUUAAUGUUGUCUUAGCCUUGCUUUUUCAUUUCUUGUUUUUUGCAAAUUCUUUUUUUAUAUAAUGCAUUUGACCCAUGCUUUUGAUAUAACUAUUCUCCUGGCUCAAAUAAAUGCAAAAGGUUAGAUCAUUUCAUUUUAAAGCAGUAACAAACUGAUGCAAGAUGUUCAUCCACAUAGAUGAGAAAUGUUCAGAGGUCUGCAGCUUAUAUAGGGGUUGUAGGGAUAGCCGCAAGGAAAGGGAAGAAUGGCAGAAAAUGCUUUUCACGAGUCAUGUUCAGCUUUAAGAGAACAUCUUUUGAAAUUUAUAUAAAGUAUAAAUGCAUAAUUUAAAUGCAAUCCUCAUGUUAUUUUAUACGAUACAAAAAAAACCUAGGAUUUUCAAAAUUGAAUAUCCAUUUCUCUUGCUUCACAAAUUAUACUUGGAUCUAUACCACUGUAAAAGUAAGUCAAGAGCCUUAAGUGUACCAGUAUGUAAAACUGUAUGUCAGCUUUAAUAUACAAUGUACUUGUACAUUAUCAACUUUUAAAUUCACUUUGUUUUUUUGUAGAUAGGAACAUACACAUUGGGACUUACAGCAAAGGCCAUGAAUAAACCGUUCUAUGUAGUGGCUGAGAGUUUUAAAUUUGCCCGUUUAUAUCCACUCAACCAACAGGAUCUUCCCAAUCAAUUCAAGUACCAUGCAAAAGUGUUGAAGUCUAGUCCGGACCUGAUGAAGGAGCACCCCCUGGUGGACUACACUCCCCCCUCCUACAUCACUCUACUGUUCACCGACCUGGGCGUCCUCACCCCCUCAGCUGUCAGUGAUGAACUCAUUAAAUUAUACUGUUAACU